GUGUUAAUCGUCUUUAUAUUGCUAUCAGUAGCUGGUGCUAACACUAGCAGUCCUAAGCUAACAGUAACAGUAUCAGGUGCACUACCUGCAGUAAUGUACGUUCAUAUAAGUUGCAUGUAUUUUAUUUUUCAGAGAGUGAACCAGCUGCAGUUUACUCAGCAGUGAGAAGAAAAGAAGACGUCAGUUAUGGACAAAUAGAGAUCAGUCCGAACAGGAGGAGAGAGCCUCCAGCAGAGCCACAGGUCAUCUACUCUUCACUGAGGUAGACCUUCACACCUUCACACCAGUCCAACCAGUGAAUCCAGCUGGCCUGUCACUGGUCCCCACAGCCCCUCACACCUCAGGACAUUCAUGGGCUUUAUUUCUUAUUUCUAUAUGUGAAAGUUAAAUGAGACUGGUGCAGCUACAGAGAGACAAACAGCUUCACUUUACACAUUAUUGUUUUACUUUUCUUUGGAUAAAUAACUUGUUAAAUACUUAUUUGUUUAGGUGGUAGUGUUUCAGUAGGGUGAAGAACACCGACAUGUUUCUACUGAACAGAAGCUGCUGAUAAUAAUGAACUUUACUGCUCUAAUAUUGAUAUCAAGUGGUGUCUCUGCAGGAUCAAUAAACUCUGGUAUCUCUGCCUGUC